GCGAGCGUAGUUCAAUGGUAGAACGAGAGCUUCCCAAGCUCUAUACGAGGGUUCGAUUCCCUUCGCCCGCUCCA
rnacentral:tRNA from 3 species